ACUCAUUGGACCCGGGGGCGGUACCCGGCGCCUCCACCAAAAUAUAAUCAACAAAGUUUAUACUUUGGUGGGGGCGAAAUAGGAUCGACAAGGGUGUAAAGAUUGCUCUUUUACUCGGCAUUGUACCACCGUCAUCGGACUAAAUUAGUAGUUGCAAACGACAACUAUGCGGAAGUACGUCUCGCUGCUUAAGCAGUGCGAAGGCUUCAAAUUAAGCCUUAAACCGUCGCAGGUUUAAGCGGGGUUCGGAGG
rnacentral:tmRNA from 1 species